rnacentral:tRNA from 1 species
GCCCAGGUGGUGAAAUUGGUAGACACGCUAGUCUUAGGAACUAGUGCUUCACGGCUUGAGGGUUCGAUUCCCUCCCUGGGCA